UGGGUGGGGGUGGGGGUGGAGGAGAAGCAGCGCGAGUAGAAAACAAACAGGAGGCGGCGCCCGCCUGGUCUGCGGGACGAAAGAGCCUGGAACCGUGGGAAGGGGCGCACGGCUACCCCCCCCGACACCCCACACCUGCGUCUUGUCGCGGGCACCCGUGCCCCACGCGGAGUGCGCACACGACGUCUCGGCUUCCCGUUGGGAAAUCCUUAAACCCGGCGCAUGCUUGUGAGCAGGACCUAGUGCCCGGCAGACCCGUGAGAAGCCGGGGCGGGGUGGGGGCAGCCGAAGCGCGACUCGCGUGGUGCGCACACCGUCACGCGCACACAGCCUCCCUGGCCUUACGGGCUGCCGCCUCUCUCCACAAGGAUCCAGGUCUGCCCGCGACGAGCCGCCACUGGUCAGCCUUGGCAGGGGUCGUGAGGAUCUGCUCCUCCUCGAAAAACUUUGCAUAGGAUGGCAACUCGGACCGAAGAGGGCAGGCGUGUGCCCAGAAACCUGGGGGAGUGCUAAGGAUCAAACUUGUGACUGCAAAGCAAGAGUUCUACCCCCGUUCUGUGUAUUUAUGAGACAGCUGCAGUAUGCCGACUGAGCUGGGUGCCAGGGCACCAGGAUGAAUGAGGCAGUGUCUGCUGGUUCCAGAUUCCUGUCAGAAAAGAAGGGGUGAGCAUCCGACUCCAGGGAGGACACGCAUGCUCAAAUGUGGAGCAUUCACCCAUCCAUCACACUAAAAUGUGGAAUCCAGAACCACAAUCAACUGAACUGGGUCUGGAGGGCAGGUUAAAGGAAGCAGCCCUUGUGGAGCUGCAGUGACCCUGAGCCCUUUGUGCAGGUGACAACCAUCUCAGAUAUGACAGCCAGUGGAGCUCAUCAGGACUUGUAGGGCUCUGGAUUUUAUCCUUACCCACUGCUUUGCCUGGCUAACUCCUUUCGUGUGUUUUGUGGGACUCGGACUGGAUAGCAGCUCUUCCAGGAGCUUUUCCUGUGAGGGGAAGAAGGUCGAAUGCUAAGGAUGGAAUCCAAGGCCUUAUACACAAUAGCCUAGCCCCUCCCCCACCAACUCUUUUUUCUCUGUAUUUUAUUUAUUUGGCAGUACGAGGGAUGAACCUAGGCCUUGUGGAUGCUGGAACAGUGCUUUAUCACUGAGCUACAUCGUAGCCUUUAAAAAUUUUAUCUUUAGUUGGUGUAGGGCAAAUGUCCGGAUUUCCAGCCCAGGGGAGGCUCAGACAGGUUUCCCAUGAGUUUGAGCCCAGUCUGAGCUACAUAGUAAGAUUCUGUCUCAAAAAACAAAAAAUUUUUAAAAUGUUUUAAAAAUAAAAUUUUGAAACAGGG